rnacentral:rRNA from 1 species
GACGAACGCUGGCGGCGUGCCUAAUACAUGCAAGUCGAGCGGACCAAAGGGAGCUUGCUCCUGGAGGUUAGCGGCGAACGGGUGAGUAACACGUGGGCAACCUGCCUGUAAGACUGGGAUAACAUCGAGAAAUCGGUGCUAAUACCGGAUAAUAAAAAGAACUGCAUGGUUCUUUUUUGAAAGAUGGUUUCGGCUAUCACUUACAGAUGGGCCCGCGGCGCAUUAGCUAGUUGGUGAGGUAACGGCUCACCAAGGCAACGAUGCGUAGCCGACCUGAGAGGGUGAUCGGCCACACUGGGACUGAGACACGGCCCAGACUCCUACGGGAGGCAGCAGUAGGGAAUCUUCCGCAAUGGACGAAAGUCUGACGGAGCAACGCCGCGUGAGUGAUGAAGGUUUUCGGAUCGUAAAACUCUGUUGUUAGGGAAGAACAAGUGCCGUUCGAAAGGGCGGCACCUUGACGGUACCUAACGNGAAAGCCACGGCUAACUACGUGCCAGCAGCCGCGGUAAAGU